rnacentral:rRNA from 1 species
GUAACAAGGUCUCCGUUGGUGAACCAGCGGAGGGAUCAUUACUGAGUUACCGCUCUAUAACCCUUUGUGAACAUACCUAACCGUUGCUUCGGCGGGCAGGGGAAGCCUCUCGCGGGCCUCCCCUCCCGGCGCCGGCCCCCACCACGGGGACGGGGCGCCCGCCGGAGGAAACCAAACUCUAUUUACACGACGUCUCUUCUGAGUGGCACAAGCAAAUAAUUAAAACUUUUAACAACGGAUCUCUUGGUUCUGGCAUCGAUGAAGAACGCAGCGAAAUGCGAUAAGUAAUGUGAAUUGCAGAAUUCAGUGAAUCAUCGAAUCUUUGAACGCACAUUGCGCUCGCCAGCAUUCUGGCGAGCAUGCCUGUUCGAGCGUCAUUUCAACCCUCAAGCACCGCUUGGUUUUGGGGCCCCACGGCACACGUGGGCCCUUAAAGGUAGUGGCGGACCCUCCCGGAGCCUCCUUUGCGUAGUAACUAACGUCUCGCACUGGGAUUCGGAGGGACUCUUGCCGUAAAACCCCCAAAUUUUUUACAGGUUGACCUCGGAUCAGGUAGGAAUACCCGCUGAACUUAAGCAUAUCAAUAAGCGGAGGA